UGGAAGUUAAAAGUCGUAACAAGGUUUCUGUAGGUGAACCUGCAGAAGGAUCAUUAGUGAAAGUUUCGGGCCUGCCAUACGGACGCAAACACGUCUCUGGCGCCCAUCACUAUAUCCAUACCAACCCCUGUGCACUGUGAUGACGAAUGUCAUCGAACAAAAAAAAACUCGUAUGGUUGAAUGUACGUGAAAUUGUAGGUAUAGCCUACGAACUAUACACAACUUUCGACAACGGAUCUCUUGGUUCUCCCAUCGAUGAAGAACGCAGCGAAACGCGAUAGGUAAUGUGAAUUGCAGAAUUCCGUGAAUCAUCGAAUCUUUGAACGCACCUUGCGCUCCAUGGUAUUCCGUGGAGCAUGCCUGUUUGAGUGCCGCGAAUUCUCCCUCCCCUUACGGUGGCCGAAAGGCCGAAGUAGGGCGGACGGGGUAGGAUGGGUGUUUGCUGCCUGGGGAUUGUACCAGGCUCGCCCGAAAUGCAUAAGCGCCAGGACCCUCGCUACCGCUCUCUAGGGAAGAGUGGCUAAGCGACCGCUGAGCAUGGCAUGAUACGUCAUUUGCUGUGUGUGGGCGGCCGGUUGGAGAGGUGUCUGCUUUACCAGCCCUAUUUUAAUUCUGGUCUCAAAUCAGGUAGGAUCACCCGCUGAACCUAAGCAUAUC
rnacentral:misc_RNA from 1 species